UAGAUGCGAGAGUAGAGCAUAUCAAUAAGCGGAGGAAAAGAAACUAACAAGGAUUCCCUUAGUAACGGCGAGUGAAGCGGGAAGAGCUCAAAUUUGAAAUCUUCAAGGUUUUACCUUGACGAAUUGUAGUUUAAAGAAGUGUUUUCUGUUGGAGUUUUGGUAAAAGUUCUUUGGAAUAGGACAUCAUAGAGGGUGAGAAUCCCGUAUUUGACCAUUAUUUCCAGCUGUGUGAUAGCACUUUCAAAGAGUCGGAUUGUUUGGGAAUGCAGUCCAAAAUGGGUGGUAAAUUUCAUCCUAAAGCUAAAUAUUGGCGAGAGACCGAUAGCGAACAAGUACCGUGAGGGAAAGAUGAAAAGAACUUUGAAAAGAGAGUUAAACAGUACGUGAAAUUGUCAAAAGGGAAGCGUUUGAUACCAGUGUUGUUUUCUCGAAAAUCAAUUAAAAAUGAUGGGAUUUUGUGUUGUAUUGACUUUAUCAGCUUUCUGCACUUUUUUCUUAUCUUUUUUAAUGCACUUUUCGUUUAACAAGUCAACAUCAAUUUCUUUUGUUGUAAAAGAGUCAUUGGAAGGUGGCUUUUUCUUCGGAAAAAGUGUUUAUAGCCUUUGGCUUCUGCAAUCGGAGAGAUUGAGGUCUGCAGCGUAGAUCCUUCGGGGUUAGAUACAUUUGUGCUAAGCUAUAGUUCUUUAUAGACAACUUGUUGACUAUAAUCAAUCCUGUAACUUACUCGCUUAUGCUAUUUUACCUACGCUUAGGAUGUUGACACACGCGCGUGCUCG
rnacentral:rRNA from 1 species